rnacentral:rRNA from 1 species
ACUCCUACGGGAGGCAGCAGUGGGGAAUAUUGCACAAUGGGCGCAAGCCUGAUGCAGCCAUGCCGCGUGUGUGAAGAAGGCCUUCGGGUUGUAAAGCACUUUCAGUCGUGAGGAAGGUAGUGUAGUUAAUAGCUGCAUUAUUUGACGUUAGCGACAGAAGAAGCACCGGCUAACUCCGUGCCAGCAGCCGCGGUAAUACGGAGGGUGCGAGCGUUAAUCGGAAUUACUGGGCGUAAAGCGCAUGCAGGUGGUUUGUUAAGUCAGAUGUGAAAGCCCGGGGCUCAACCUCGGAAUAGCAUUUGAAACUGGCAGACUAGAGUACUGUAGAGGGGGGUAGAAUUUCAGGUGUAGCGGUGAAAUGCGUAGAGAUCUGAAGGAAUACCGGUGGCGAAGGCGGCCCCCUGGACAGAUACUGACACUCAGAUGCGAAAGCGUGGGGAGCAAACAGGAUUAGAUACCCUGGUAGCACAGAG